rnacentral:rRNA from 1 species
GACGAACGCUGGCGGCGUGCUUAACACAUGCAAGUCGAACGGAAAGGCACUGCUUUUGUGGGGUGCUCGAGUGGCGAAAGGGUGAGUAACACGUGAGUAACCUGCCCUUGACUUUGGGAUAACUUCAGGAAACUGGGGCUAAUACCGGAUAGGAGCUCCUGCUGCAUGGUGGGGGUUGGAAAGUUUCGGCGGUUGGGGAUGGACUCGCGGCUUAUCAGCUUGUUGGUGGGGUAGUGGCUUACCAAGGCUUUGACGGGUAGCCGGCCUGAGAGGGUGACCGGCCACAUUGGGACUGAGAUACGGCCCAGACUCCUACGGGAGGCAGCAGUGGGGAAUAUUGCACAAUGGGCGGAAGCCUGAUGCAGCAACGCCGCGUGCGGGAUGACGGCCUUCGGGUUGUAAACCGCUUUCGCCUGUGACGAAGCGUGAGUGACGGUAAUGGGUAAAGAAGCACCGGCUAACUACGUG